ACACACACACACACGGGGGGGGAGAGAGAGAGAGAGAGAGAGAGAGAGAGAGAGAGAGAGAGAGAGAGAGAGAGAGAGAGAGAAAGCAAAAAAAGAGGAAGGUGCUUAGAAGAGGCAGGGAUGCCCGGUGAAAAGCAGAGAGUCGGGGAUCCGGCUUAACCCAGGCAUUUGGGAAGGGGGGCUGGAGGUGGAACACGACUCAACGGACCGCAGCCGCUCUGGCUAGGGCGGUAGAGCGCCAGGGUGAGAGGGUGAGGAUGCCCUGCGGGCUUCCGCACUACUCUGACACCAAACAGAAUGGCUAGGCUCCGGUGGUGAAGUAAAAGUUCCCGGUGGCGUGAAGGCGGUGGAUAGCCACCUUGCCCGUGCACGGAGGCUGUCUGGGGAAGCGGCCUCGAGGGCUGGAUGGACUGGGUGGAAGCCCUCGCAGGGGGUCCUACGGCUCUAGCUUUUGUACCGCCCCGCCUAGGCCAGUCCGGAGCUGACGCACCAGCUCCCCAGAGACGCUGGGGGCGUCGCACUGCAGCUGGGUGGGGAGCAAUUUAUUCCUGGCGGUCACAUCCCACCCCAUCUUCUGUUACUCCACCCUACCCUCCCAUCCCUCCACCUCUUCCUCCUCCUUUUCUACCAACGCCCGCACUAUCUUCUGGUUCUUCUCCUCCUCACCCUCCACUCCCCCUCUCUCCCUUCUUUUCUUUUCUCCCUUCCCCUCCCCCUCUUCUGAAUAACCAAGCUGUUUUGCCUCCGAAAGGGGAGAGAGAGAGAGAGAGAGAGAGAGAGAGAGAGAGAGAGAGAGAGAGAGAGAGAGAGAGAGAGAGAGGCCUGCGGUGACUGGAAGACAGGAGGGAAUCUGGAUCUGGUACAUCUGGGAAGUGGAAACUUGAUGCUUCUGGGCGGUGAUUUGCCAAGGCCUCGCCAAAGGAAGGCUUUCAUUUUUCAAGAAGAAACUUUAAUACACAGCAAGAUAUAAGGCUCAUUGAGAAGGAAUGACAUAAGAAUAGGACUCUGUCGUAGUCAGCAUCAGCAGCGUUACUUUAGUCCUGGACACACAAGCAUAUGCAUAUGUCACCGAACAUGCUCCUAUCCACUUUUGAGAAAAUUAGAACAAAAACCGCAUUUAUAAAAAUGAGCUAGUCUUCUUGAACGUUUGAGAGACAUUUUUAAAUAAAAAAGAACAUAGAAAAAUUUUAAUCUUCUGCUUUUAGGGAAACUAAGAGCUUCCUGUUUUAUUUAAAGAAAAAUGAAAUUGGGAAACUUUUGCAAUUGUUCAAAAUGAAGACCAUAACUUGACUAUACCAAGGCUUCUCCCCCACGUGUGUUAGAUGUGUUAGACCCUUGUUCCAUUCAGUACUCUACAGACAAGAGCAUUUGAUAGGAAGUCUCGACCUUUGAUUAACAGGUGCAUUUAUUGUAUUAAAAACUGGGAUUUGUUAAUAAGUGAUAUUUUAAAUUGAAACCUCAAAGAAUUCAGCUAGUUCAAAUGCUCCAGUGUUCUACAAGGAAGGCAUCUGCCCUACUAUUUGAACUGGUUAGUAUCUGGACCAUAGUAGGGUUUCAGAGGCUCCUGCCUCCUCAGAACCUGGUACAAGAAAAGGAAACACAGAGUGGGAGGGGAUGCUGGGUCCCCUCCCUCCUCUACUCACUGCCAGGACCACCUGCACCCACCACAUCUUCUAAAGGAAAUGGCCAUUUGGUUUUAUGGGGAAAACCCAUAAGACAAAGUCUAGCACACACACAUUGCAGUCAGACGUAUAUUACACAAAGUGCAUAUUCUUUAACGUAUCUACUUUGCUAUACACGCUGUGUGUGUGUGUGUGUGUGUGUGUGUGUGUGUGUGUGUGUGUGUGUGUAGAUCUCAAAACAUCACCCUCUCUCUAAGUUUCCCCUAAUUUGGGGAGUUAAUAAUAUCAUAGUUCUUAAUGAAAGAAAGGCUGUCAAUUUCUGGGUGAAGUGAGGUACAAUAAAGGUGCACAUGCCAUCCAGAAGGACUUAAGCAAUUGGCAGGCCUGCGGUGCCAGGCAUCUGCAAAGAUACAGUCUUCAUUUGUCGCUGGAAAGAUAUGAGGGUGAAGGGGACUGUAAUAUAAACCCAAGCAAACUAGGAUUUCGACAUUCACCUGGGUCUCCCUUAGGCUGUGGUCAACAGCAUUUGCAGGUCCCUAGGCUUCCAGAAGAAAGGAUUUUCGACUAGAGGUUUUGUGUGUUGCCUGUGCAAUCAGGUCCCUUCUGUAGGCCCCCUAGGGCCAUCUUGAAGCUAUAUAGCUUUUCCUUUCUUUGUACAGUAAUGGCUAUAGAAGUCCCGAGAGUCUUGAACAUAAAGCUCUUGAAGCCCCCUAUGUCCAGAGAAUUCUGGUUCUCCCAGGCCAGGGCCGCUCCGACGACCCCAAGCGUGGUGCUCAAGAGGCCAGUAGGUGUCGCUGUUUCCCUGCUGGCAGGAGCCUGGAGCCCG
rnacentral:lncRNA from 1 species